rnacentral:rRNA from 1 species
GUGCCAGCAGCCGCGGUAAUACGUAGGCAGCAAGCGUUGUUCGGAGUUACUGGGCGUAAAGGGUGUGUAGGCGGUUUCGUAAGUCUGGUGUGAAAUCUCCCGGCUCAACUGGGAGGGUGCGCCGGAAACUGCGAGGCUAGAGUGUGGGAUGGGAGAGUGGAAUUCCUGGUGUAGCGGUGAAAUGCGUAGAUAUCAGGAGGAACACCUGCGGUGUAGACGGCUCUCUGGACCACUACUGACGCUGAAACACGAAAGCGUGGGUAGCAAACAGGAUUAGAUACCCUCGUAGUCC